CCGAGGACGAGCGUGGUCACUCGAGGCAGGGGGGCUACGACCCUUCCACAUACCAGUUUUAGCUAGCUAGCAAGGUUGGUGGUUUCCCAAAGGGCUUUCCCGGCAUUUCUGACAGACGAUCCCCAGCGUAGGUUCACCUUCGGGUGCACUGUUGUAACACUAUUUUAUUUGGACUGCUUUAGGCUUUCUGCUCUGAACUUGUGUCGUUUCACGCUAGCACUUGUUAUUACUUCGACCUUUUGUAUGCUAGUUUUUAUUUAUUCAUACUUUUAUAUUACUACUUUA